UUUAUGAGUGUGUCAGUCAGUAGCGAAGACUUUUACAUUGAAAACACUGAAUUGUUGUGAACACGGAACAAGACACAACUGACAAUUGCUUUGACUAGCGCUGUCAGUCACAGGAAAACCCCUUAACUGUUAAAAAGACAAGAUAAUACAUCGGAUAUUUAAACAGAUUUUUUAUUACGAACAUAGGACUGACCUGAAAGAUAAUGCUAAUUCUGAAUGCAGGUAAUAAACUCGCUCAAUCAAUCUCUUUCUCACAAUACUCUUCUACAUAAUACGGUAAUAAUACCAACUGAGAACAAACAGUUUACAUUGCUAAGAGUGGUUGCUAAGGGUGUUGUGUAGUGAUACACAGAACCGUUGGGUGAAGCGGUCAUAACUGUGUUUUAUCGUGAAUAAAACACAGCUAUUGACCAAUCAGAAUCAAGGACAAGAACUAACCGUUUUAUAAUAAAAACUACAACAUAUGUAAUAAUAUAACACACACACGCACACACACACACACACACACACACACACACACAUAUAUGUGUGUGUGGGUGUGUGUGUGUGUCAAUGUAUAUAAAUUACAUAAACCAAAUACAAUUGUCCAUAAAAUAAAAAACUAAAGUAUUGUUGAAACUCAAAAGGUGAAAUGUAAAAUAAAUUUGAAAAUAUUAAAAAAAAAAACCCCAAAAACCUUUAAAAUCACAAAACUAAACAUAAUAAUGCACAAUAAAAAAAAAAUAAUAAUGAAAAACAAUAAUAACCUUGGACCCUGCACUCACAAAAUGAGCCCCCUACUGGAGAUACAGCAUGAUGAACCCAUCCAAGAUAGCGAAUCAGUGACUGAGUGCUUUCUAAUGUAAAGCCUGGCAGCUUCUCCCUCAUGACAGGCCUUAUGUUCUCCCUCGUCUCGCUACCUUUCCCCAAACGUCGGUCCUCUGUUCCCACACAUCUUCAUCUUCCAGAAAUAACCCCCAUUUACUCACAUAACAGCUUCCAGAACAUUUUCGCUUCAGUACAGAGCAGUCCCAAAAGACGCACUCAACCGCCCAAAACUCUCUCUCUCUCUCUCUCGCUCUCUAUCCUCCUUCGGUUCUACCACUCUUCCUGUACGAAAAAACUCUCCUCAGAGGCUGACGGCAGGCUGAAAGCUCCCGGGGACUGUCAGAGUAUUUCAUUAUUCAAACAAUGCUGGAAAGUGGAGCCAAUGAUCACUUUAGUGGUGCUGAUUUGUCAUGGUGACUAGACGAGGGAGGGAGACUUCACAGCGCACAGGAUUGUCCACCCAGAGGCUACGUCACCAAGUCGUCACAACAGACUCCAACUCCAAUCCAGGCUUGGCUGGGAUGUGUACAUCGGCACAUGGAGAAGCUCCGCUGAUAACGCUGACCUUAUCCUUAUCUCUAACCACUGCAGGGCAGCAGGGAGAUCUCCUCUGCCUGAUAACCCACUCAACAUCUGACCUCCGAUCUUUCACACCCAUUACUCACCCUGAGUGUGACCUCAUAGAGGCUGCUGUCAGUAGCGGUGUUUGGAUACUGCUGUCAGCAGCAGUAAGUUAGUCCUGUUUUAUAUCAGCCCUAAAGGCGAGGGUCGGUGUCUUGCAGUGAAACGCUUCGACAGGAUGUUUAACUCUCAAACAUGCAUCACUCAGCCAGAUCUUAAGACAGUUUUGGAAGCCUGACAGCCAUUAGAGCCAUAUCAUAAUGCAAACACUGCAAAAAUGUUUUUUCUUUAUUUGUAUUUCUGGCUUCCUUAAUACUUAAUGCAAGAUAAAUUAUAUACCCUGUUGUAUUAUUACAUUUCAUUGCAUAUUACUGCAUAUACUGUUUUUCAUCCAAUUGGUAAAUAGAUCAAUUUUAAAGAUUUAAAAGUUGUUCAAAGUUAAACAAUUUAAAGGUUUUAAUCAUCAAAUGUAAAUCUGAAAACAAUUCUUAAUAUCUUACAUACUUUUACAUUGUUUACAUUUUCUUUUACUGGACAAGACGUUUUUGCAGUGCAGAUGAAUACAAAUAAAAAAUAUAUAUUCUGUG